rnacentral:rRNA from 1 species
UGGGGAAUUUUGCACAAUGGAGGAAACUCUGAUGCAGCGACGCCGCGUGAGUGAUGAAGAUCUUCGGAUUGUAAAACUCUGUCCUUAGUGAAGAUAAUGACAGUAACUAAGAAGCAAGCCCUGGCUAAAUACGUGCCAGCAGCCGCGGUAAUACGUAUGGGGCAAGCGUUGUCCGGACUUAUUGGGCGUAAAGGGUACGUAGGCGGUUUAAUAAGUCCUAAUUAAAAGGCUAUGGCUCAACCAUAGUAUGGUUAGGAAACUGUUGAACUUGAGUAGAUGAGGGGAAAGUGGAAUUCCAUGUGUAGCGGUGAAAUGCGUAGAUAUAUGGAGGAACACCAAUGGCGAAGGCAACUUUCUGGAAUCAAACUGACGCUGAGGUACGAAGGCGUGGGGAGCAAACAGG